rnacentral:snRNA from 1 species
AGAUGUGAGGACAAUCUGACUGUGACAUCUGUCACCCCAUUGAUCACCAGGAUUGAUUCAACUGAUCUGGCUGGCUAGGCAGGUGUCCCCUCCCUCCUUCACCACUCCAUGUGCAUCCCUCCUGAAACUGCUGGCUGGGUUGAAAAGGAUGACCAUCCAUGAUAGAGGAGGAUAGUCAAGGGUAUACAAGUAGCUAUGCUCCCCUGCUAGAACCGUCAAACAAUCUCUUGAUAAGCAAAGGUCAAUUUCCUUGAUAAGCAAAGAUCCUCAAUAAAAUACUGCAAACUGGAAUCAACACCACAUUCUGAUCAAGUUGGUUUC